GCCAUUGCUGGUCAUUUUUAUCAUUGAAAUGUAACUGAUGAAGAAAAAAAAAACAUGCAAUUGCUUUAAACAAGCAGCUAAGGAGUGGGAGGCACUUGGCACCUCUUCUGAAGUGGACUCCUGAGAUUCUAGGGCAAUAACAGAUCCAUAUCACAGUGCCUGAAGUCUGCUGGACCAAGCAAAAUGGAGUCUGGAGAGUCUUUUGCUCAGAUCCCAAGUGGAGUGACAGAAACACUUCUCCAAGCAACCUGGACAUUAUCCAAACAGUGUUCAACUUCUCAUUUUCGGAGUAUACCGAAACCUGCAUGCUAAGCCCUGUGUGACCUGAGUCCCUUGAAAUACUGAAGAACAAAGGGUUGCUUUUGGCAGUUUCAACACUUCAGUUGUACCAUUGUGUGCAGAGAUGCUCAUUUGAAAUACUGAUAUCUGGCUCUAACAUCUGAGAUGGAUUGUUACAGCGACAAAGACUUUAAGUCAAUUCCAGAAUGAAUUGCCCAAGGUCACACUGCUAAGAAGUGGACUUCAGCCCUGAAUGCAUGAGCUCAGCUCCAUAGUUUCCUGACUCAUGGCUACACAGCACCAUCUGGAAGCAUCAAGGGUGCCAUUUCACACAGAUGAGGGAGCAUCCCACAUAUUCCUCUGGAAGCCAAAGAAACUUGGGAUCCUCAUCCCAGAAGCAGAUGGGAGUUUAGCAUCACAGUGGCAACCUUUGAAUUUCUCAGGGGUCAUCUUUGCAGCAGGGGAGUCUGGUUUGGCAGAAAGGGGUUUGCAGGGCUUAUGUAGUAGUUGUGCGUGAAAAGUGAGCAUGGAGGAAGAGCAUUUCCAACCACUGGACACACCAACAGGCAGACUGGGAGGUCCUUAUCCAGGUCACACGCCUAGACUAUGAUGGUUUGUCUAUUAGGAAUUACUCACCACUGGUGUGUCAUGUUAAUAAAAUCUCCUUUUGGUACAUUCUCAUUAAAACAAGCAGACAUUCUGAGGAAAAUGUUUUCCAGGUAAAAUAUCUUCCAACUGACUUACAGGGCUCUGGGUCCAGAGCAGUUAAACAUCCGGACAAGAGAAUGCUAGUUCUUUCUCACUUGGGCUUUCUCAUACAAGGUAAGACCAUGUUCCAUUAGAUAUGUUUCUCAAGCCCUCCCUUCUGUACAUUCUUUGAAUAGCACUCUGCAGGCAGGAAAGGGCUCCCAGUGAGUCGGCCUGAGGAAAAGCACAGGGUUUGGAUCUAAGUCUUUUCCACUCCUUCACCGUGCUAGUCACUGAAUAAUCGGCCUGUCCUGCCACAGCUGUUUUUGUUGCCAUACCAGCUAUCACCUCCUCUGGUUAAGUUAAAAGUAUCUGGUGAGCCCUUAAGUAUUUGCUCUCCUUGCAUAGCACUUUUGACACUGCAUCAUGGUCUGGUACUGCUCUGGGUCCUGACUCCCAGAGGCAGGGAAGCAGGUUCCCUCUCUCCCUAGGCCCUAGUACAGAGCCCAAUGUGUGGUCCAUAGCAAAAAACUGGGUGGUAAAUUGAAGAACAAAGAAGACAAGCUUAUGAAGGAGGAAGAGGAGGAGGAGGAAGAGAAGGAGGACACAUAUAAAAAUAUUUAUAUCAGACCUAAAUCAGAGAACUUGAAGGUUUUAUAAAGAUGUUCAGAUAAUCUUGGCAUGACUUCCCUGGCUUACAUAAGCCUCUGCUUCAAAUCUGUCUUAAAGAAAGGAAAAAUCUAGAUGGAAGUUUAAGAUAAACAUGCAUGGAAAUAACAGAAAUUAUCUAUUAAACCCUCAGAAAUUGCAACAUGUCACUUGUCCAUAAUGACUUCAUAGAAAAGGUCACAAAAAAAUAGAUAGGAAUGCUUAUACAGAUACUUUCCCUUUCAUUUUAUAUUUUUAUACUUUUAACCGUGGGGAUA